GCGGGUGUAGCUCAACGGUAGAGCACUUGCCUUCCAAGCAAGAUGUUGUGGGUUCAAAUCCCAUCGCCCGCU
rnacentral:tRNA from 1 species